rnacentral:rRNA from 1 species
CAAGAUGCUAAUACCGGAUAACAACAGAUGAUGCCUAUCAACUGUUUUAAAAAGAUGGUUCUGUUAUCACUCUUGGAUGGACCUGCGGUGCAUUAGCUAGUUGGUAGGGUAACGGCCUACCAAGGCGAUGAUGCAUAGCCGAGUUGAGAGACUGAUCGGCCACAUUGGGACUGAGACACGGCCCAAACUCCUACGGGAGGCAGCAGGG